CACAGACACAGAGUGUGUUGGAAUCACUGCAUGGAGACCUCAGAGACGCCAGUGGUUAUCAACCUGCUACUGCCACUGCUACUUCAACUGUUGUGACCAAUAAAUGGAGUAACAUGAAGCAA